GUUUCAGGCUGCAGUGAGCCAUGAUUACACCAUUGGACAACAGAGCCAGACCCUAACUCUAAAAAAACAAAAACGGUAACUCAGAUUUUGUUCCAGAGUUUGUGAAUGCAAUCAGUAGUUUUAAGGGUUUUGUGUGUGUGUGUGUGUACACAUUUAGUUUUAUUCUAACAAAGCAACUUGUACACUUUCAAUGUUUAAAACUGAGCACCAUCUUUCCUUUCCAGUGAAACAAAGAGAAAAUUUAAAAAUAAACAAGAAGAAAAUUACAAUAGAGAAUGUCAAUACCAAAUAAGAUCCUACAGGUUCUGCUCAUUCUCCCAUUGAGUGGCAGGGCUCAAGUCAUCAUUAGGAGAGAAUUUAUUUUAAAAGUGUCAUCUUAAACUACAAGGAUGUCUGUCAGAUAUCACAAUUAAACAUGCCAAAGGAAAAGCCAUAUUGUCAAAAUGCCCACUUAACCCACCGAGACAUCUCAAACUCACCCCUUGCUGACCUUCUAGAAACCCAUUUUUCAAGUUUUUUUUUCUUUUUUUAAACAAGAGAAAGUAGACAGAUACAUAUUGGUAUAUGCUAACUGUCCAUAUUCACAUAGAAACACAGUGUAGUCUCUGAUUGCAAUAUACAGAGAAAGGAGGACAAAAGCUAGAAUUCUAUGCACUACUACCCAGGGGCUUAGCACCCUCCAGCUUCCAGUAGUGUGAAGGGAGCAGGUUUUUUCUUUUUUCCCACAGAGCUUGGUGGUGUUGAUUCCAUACAGUUUUUGUUCAGACAGGAAGGGAUAAAAAUGAAUUUUGAACAGAAAGGGGUAGAGACUCUUCCCAUUGUAUUUCGCUCAAGGUAUUUUCCCCAAAAUAAGUUGAGAAACAUGGUGUAGAGAAAAGAGUCCUCAAGAACAGGGUGACUGAGGACAAGGGAAAAAAAAAAAAAAGAGAGAUUGAGAGAGAAAAAUAAGACUGCAGCUUGCUCCCAGGGACUGGAGAACAUUUUAAAAUAGGAAGGUUGGAAUCCAUCAGUGUUCCAUUAGUCAUCUUCUCCUUCAUCCUUCUCUCCUUCUUCCCUUUCAUCAUCUUCAUCUUCUUCACCUUUAUGCUCAUCCCCUACUUCAUCAAUAUCUUCUAAUCCUUCCUCCUUUGCAUCACCAUCGUCAUCAUCAUCAUCAUCAUCAUCAUCUUUUUCUCCUUCUCCUUCUUCAUCAUCCAUAUCAGGAACCAAGUAGUACUGUAAUGGGUUUGGCCAGAUACCAUCUUUGAUGAACUAUCCUAACUCACCCACACUAUGUGCAUCAGAAUGGUCAGUAAAUCAGGUAAAGAAGCUCUCUGGACCACCUCCUGCUGCGGGACCGAAGGAGACAUGUGCUUCUGCAGGCUUGCUGACGAAGGGACAAAAAAACCCAGCAAGAAGCAAUUGAACACAUUGAUGAAGUACAAAAUGAAAGAGACUUAAUGAACAAGCCAGUGAGGAGAUUUUGGAAGUAGAAUAGAAAUGUAACAAACUCCACUAUCCACUUUUUCAGAAGAGGUCAGAAUUGAUCGCCAAAAUCCCAAAUUUGGGGGUAACAACAUUUGUCAACCAUCCGCCAAGUGUUCGCACUGCUUGGGGAGGAGGACAAAGAGGCACUACAUUAUUUGACCAGAGUUGAAGUGACAGAAUUUGAAGAUACUGAAACAGGUUACAGAAUAGAUUUUUAUUUUGAUGAAAAUCCUUACUUUGAAAAUAAAAUUCUUCCCAAAGAAUUUCAUCCCAAUGAGAGUGGUGAUGUAUCUUCAAAGUCCACCGAAAUCAAAUGGAAAUCUGGAAAGGAUGUGAUGAAACGUUCAAGUCAAACACAGAAUAAAGCCAGCAGAAAGAGGCAAUAUGAGGAACCAGAGUGCUUCUUUAAGGUUUUUUUUUUCUUUUCUUUUUAAACAAGCAUGGAUUUAAUACUAUAAGAGUGGCAUGAUCUUAGUAGAUACGUAAUCUUGAUAAAGUAAAUGUCUUAUACAUUCUAAUAUUCCUAUAAUUAGAAAUUUUGCAUUCUUAAACUAGUGUUUGUUUCUUCCCACCACUGCUAAAUUAGUACUGAUUAAUGCAUAUUAGUGAGAUUAGUAAUAGUAUUUACUUUUACUAGGCAUGAUGUUAAAAAUACUUUUUUUUCCCAAUAUGAUCUCUCUUGAGGUUUUUCUUGUGUUUCUUCAAUAUUUCCUGUUUUUCACAAUUCAAAAACUUGUCAUGUUGCUUAUGUUUGGAUAUUCCCUGACUCUUCAUCAAAAAAGCAUUUGUAAACUAUGUCUUAGUUACAGUUAUUUCUUCUACUAACUAAUGCUAUUCAUUAUAUACUAGUAUUUUACUUUGACAUGCCCUCUUUAUCAAUUUGAGAGCUGUCUAAUUAUAGACAAUUCUCAUCCUAAAAAAUUCAGACUCUAGACUUGGAAAGGACCUCAAUAUUAUAGUUUAAUCUUUAGUCUUUUCUUUAGAAUCCGUAACUCACUUUUCCCUUGAAUGUCUUCAGAAGAUGAAACUGAUCUUGUAAGAUAGCUCAUUUCAUAUUUGGACAGGUCUCUCCAUUAGAAAAUUCUUUUUUAUAUUGGGUUUAGAAUCUGUCUGCCAAUUUGUAACCCAUGGAAGCUCACAAAGCAGAUCCAAUAACUUUUCCACAUAGUGUGCCUUUGAGUAUUAUACCCUGGGGCUUCUUCUAUUUCCAGAGUGUGUAUUUCCAUUUUCCCCCAAUUGUUUUUCCUAUUGCAUUACUUGGUUUUGAAUUCUUAUUUAUUAACAAACCUGAAUUUGUCUAUAUCCCUCUUAAAUGUGGAAUACUGAACUGAAUGUACUAUACCAGAUGAGUUCUGACUUUUCAUAUUAUAUUUUAGUCAGAAAUUUCUUAGCCAUUGCCCAGUAUAGGAAUACAUCCAUCACAUCCUUGUUUGCUAUUUUGUACUUGAAAAGUGCAAUUGUGUCAAAAUACUUUCAGUGUCUUUAGAUUUGGUGCUGUUCUGUCUUCUAGACUCCUAUAAAUAAUUUGUAUACAAGGUAGCAGGGAAAAAAAAUCACUCUUUAGUGACAAUUUUUUUUUUUUUGUAACCUGAUUUAAUCUCCAUUGAGAGUACUAUAGAGAUUAAUUUUUUUUUUUGAAACCUCAGUAUAUGUCUGGCAAAGUCUUAAAAUCAAUCAUUUAAUUUAAAUUGGAUUUCAAAAGAAGGUCACUAGAUUAAAUCUCCUGCUGUAGUUAGUGAAUGAAGGUUUAUGUGAAAGGAGGGAAAGCCAACCACUUUUAUGUUUUUAACAGGCUAAAUUGGGAACUUGUCAGUGCUCACGAUCCAGUUCUUCAAAAUUAUAAAACUAAACUUGAAAGCACCCUGGUCACCUCUGACCCACUGUGGAACAUGGUGCCCACCGUUGAAGAGGAAAGUGGUGCAGUUCUUUUCAGAUAGAGCCACCUGCAGGCACAGGUGUUACCCCAAGCCUUGGAGCUUCAGACAGCUAUGAUAUUUUGUUUCUGCCAGCCAUUGUGAUGACUGUACCUCUGAAGUUCCUGGGCCAUAUUCAAACCUUGUCUCUCAAAAGUCACAUUAGAAAUAUAUAUGCCACUCCCAAUUUCUCAAAAAUGUUAUUCUUUUUCCUGUUGUAAUAAGAUCAUCAACUUUCAAAGAGGUCUUUUCGAAUUAUGUAGUGUUUAUGGAUUAUGAGAAACCAAUGUAGACCUUUUGUUUAUGAACAUGGACAAAAUUUUAUUCACAAGAACAUAUUUGUCUUCAACUACUUAGUACUCUUUCAACUUUAAAAGAGAUACUUUUCGGUUUAUUGUAAAACUAUUGCCAAAGACUAACAGGUGUCUGUAAAACAAAGGAUUCUUGAAAUAAUUCACUGACUAACAUGUUAUAUCAAAGGUCAAGGGGUAGUAUCCUUGGAUGAUGAUGACUUAGUAUUGCUAUUGCUCUAGGGAAAAUCUCAAAAUUUGAACCAAUGGACAGACAUGUGACAUCAUAAUAGUUGGAAAAGUAAGAUUAUUUUGAGAAGACUUUAUACUUUAGAGCAAUACUAAUUUUUGUGUAAUCCAUUAUUUUCUUGACAUUUUCACAUAUUUCUGUGCCUAUUGCAUUAUUUGCUCACAUUUAUAUAUUUAUUUGAGUACCCUUUUACUCUUUCUUCCUCAUUUAUCCCUCUUGUAAACUGGCUGUCAAUAAAUUUCAAUCACAUUUUUAUGUUAGUAACAAGUCUGAGUGCCAAAUUUGAGCUAUACGAGACUGUUGUGAACAAUUUGUAUGUUUACAAUCUCUAACAUCUGCACUAAAAUGUUCUAAUACUGCCAUUCUUUCCAAAGUAGGUUGGACCAUUAGCAACCAACAGUAUCAACAGUGAAACACUUUAUGAAGGUAUAAAUGAAAAGAGAACAUUUGUGAAUAAGUGGGCUCUAGAAAAGGCAAGUUUAAGAGGAUUGCCGUAAAGUCCAUGAGCUGCUUGUGACAACAUCCAAAGCUUUAUUAACUUCACCAAUAUAUCAAUAACAAGCAAAAUAACAAAAGAAAGCAAAAAAGCAAAAAAAAAAAAAAAAAAAAAAAAAAAA